ACUGCUCAGUAACACGUGGACAACCUGCCCUCAGGUUGGGUAUAAACCCGGGAAACUGGGUAUAAUACCCGAUAGGUCUCGAUUGCUGGAAUGCAUCGAGAUUUAAAGCUCCGGCGCCUAAGGAUGGGUCUGCGGCCUAUCAGGUAGUAGUGGGUGUAGCGUACCUACUAGCCUACGACGGGUACGGGUUGUGAGAGCAAGAGCCCGGAGAUGGAUUCUGAGACACGAAUCCAGGCCCUACGGGGUGCAGCAGGCGCGAAAACUUUACAAUGCUGGCAACAGCGAUAAGGGAACCUCGAGUGCCAGGUUACAAAUCUGGCUGUCGAGAUGCCUAAAAAGCAUUUCAUAGCAAGGGCCGGGCAAGACCGGUGCCAGCCGCCGCGGUAACACCGGCGGCUCGAGUGGUAACCGUUAUUAUUGGGUCUAAAGGGUCUGUAGCCGGCCGGAUAAGUCUCUUGAGAAAUCUGGCAGCUUAACUGUCAGGCUUUCAGGAGAUACUGUCUGGCUCGAGGCCGGGAGAGGUGAGAGGUACUUCAGGGGUAGGGGUGAAAUCUUGUAAUCCUUGAAGGACCACCAGUGGCGAAGGCGUCUCACCAGAACGGACCUGACGGCAAGGGACGAAAGCUAGGGGCACGAACCGGAUUAGAUACCCGGGUAGUCCCAGCCGUAAACGAUACUCGCUAGGUGUCGGCCACGGUGCGACCGUAGUCGGUGCCGUAGGGAAGCCGUGAAGCGAGCCACCUGGGAAGUACGGCCGCAAGGCUGAAACUUAAAGGAAUUGGCGGGGGAGCAC
rnacentral:rRNA from 1 species